CUUCAAAGCACACAGCCAGUGGCACUCAAACUGCUCCACUGCCCUCAAAAGAAACCAAGGAAAGAUGGAAUAUUUUUUUUGCAGACUCUGACUCUGCUGAGUCCCCGAGCAGCUCCUCAGCCCUCACCUCCCUGCAGUGGGUUGCAGAGAUUCUCCCCUCUAGCAUCAAGAUCCAAGGAAGGACGUUCACACAGCAGCUGGAGCACCUGCUGACCCCACCUGAGCGUUUCAGCGUCUGCAAGGCUCUGGAGGGCUUCUUCCAACAUCGGAACAUUGACACUCUCAUUGUGGAUGUGUACCCGGUGCUGGACACACCAGCCAAGCAAGUCCUCUGGCAGUUUAUCUACCAGCUGCUGACCUAUGAGGAGCAGGAGCACUGCCAGCUAAAGAUUGACAGGUUUCUGGGGUACAAGGCCUUGGCAGGUGAGAGGGAGUCCCUGUGCUCCAGCAUGGACACUUGGUGUCCUGACAGGUGCUGGGAGCUCAGUCCAUUGUGCUGGGGUAGUUUUGGAAUGGAGCUGCAUUGAGAGGAGAGCUGGUACCUGACUCUGGGAGCAAAGGGUUUUGGAAGCUGCUCAGGUCGUUAGAGGUGAGGAAAUCCAGGAAGGAAGCAGCUGGGUUAAUGGCAGCAUUCAGAUCAGAGAGUAAAAUAAGGGUGACACAGCAUCCCUUGGGAUGUCACAAA
rnacentral:lncRNA from 12 species